rnacentral:rRNA from 1 species
GUGAACUCGAAGAGUAGGGCGGGACACGUGGUAUCCUGUCUGAAUAUGGGGGGACCAUCCUCCAAGGCUAAAUACUCCUGACUGACCGAUAGUGAACCAGUACCGUGAGGGAAAGGCGAAAAGAACCCCGGCGAGGGGAGUGAAAAAGAACCUGAAACCGUGUACGUACAAGCAGUGGGAGCACCUUCGGGUGUGACUGCGUACCUUUUGUAUAAUGGGUCAGCGACUUAUAUUCUGUAGCAAGGUUAACCGUAUAGGGGAGCCGCAGGGAAACCGAGUCUUAACUGGGCGUUAAGUUGCAGGGUAUAGACCCGAAACCCGGUGAUCUAGCCAUGGGCAGGUUGAAGGUUGGGUAACACUAACUGGAGGACCGAACCGACUAAUGUUGAAAAAUUAGCGGAUGACUUGUGGCUGGGGGUGAAAGGCCAAUCAAACCGGGAGAUAGCUGGUUCUCCCCGAAAGCUAUUUAGGUAGCGCCUCGUGAAUUCAUCUUCGGGGGUAGAGCACUGUUUCGGCUAGGGGGUCAUCCCGACUUACCAACCCGAUGCAAACUACGAAUACCGAAGAAUGUUAUCACGGGAGACACACGGCGGGUGCUAACGUCCGUCGUGAAGAGGGAAACAACCCAGACCGCCAGCUAAGGUCCCAAAGUCAUGGUUAAGUGGGAAACGAUGUGGGAAGGCACAGACAGCCAGGAUGUUGGCUUAGAAGCAGCCAUCAUUUAAAGAAAGCGUAAUAGCUCACUGGUCGAGUCGGCCUGCGCGGAAGAUGUAACGGGGCUAAACCAUGCACCGAAGCUGCGGCAGCGACACUAUGUGUUGUUGGGUAGGGGAGCGUUCUGUAAGCCUGCGAAGGUGUGCUGUGAGGCAUGCUGGAGGUAUCAGAAGUGCGAAUGCUGACAUAAGUAACGAUAAAGCGGGUGAAAAGCCCGCUCGCCGGAAGACCAAGGGUUCCUGUCCAACGUUAAUCGGGGCAGGGUGAGUCGACCCCUAAGGCGAGGCCGAAAGGCGUAGUCGAUGGGAAACAGGUUAAUAUUCCUGUACUUGGUGUUACUGCGAAGGGGGGACGGAGAAGGCUAUGUUAGCCGGGCGACGGUUGUCCCGGUUUAAGCAUGUAGGCUGAUUGUCCAGGCAAAUCCGGAUAAUCAAGGCUGAGGUGUGAUGACGAGGCACUACGGUGCUGAAGUAACAAAUGCCCUGCUUCCAGGAAAAGCCUCUAAGCAUCAGGUAACAUCAAAUCGUACCCCAAACCGACACAGGUGGUCAGGUAGAGAAUACCAAGGCGCUUGAGAGAACUCGGGUGAAGGAACUAGGCAAAAUGGUGCCGUAACUUCGGGAGAAGGCACGCUGGUGUGUAGGUGAAGUCCCUGCGGAUGGAGCUGAGACCAGUCGAAGAUACCAGCUGGCUGCAACUGUUUAUUAAAAACACAGCACUGUGCAAACACGAAAGUGGACGUAUACGGUGUGACGCCUGCCCGGUGCCGGAAGGUUAAUUGAUGGGGUUAUCCGUAAGGAGAAGCUCUUGAUCGAAGCCCCGGUAAACGGCGGCCGUAACUAUAACGGUCCUAAGGUAGCGAAAUUCCUUGUCGGGUAAGUUCCGACCUGCACGAAUGGCGUAAUGAUGGCCAGGCUGUCUCCACCCGAGACUCAGUGAAAUUGAACUCGCUGUGAAGAUGCAGUGUACCCGCGGCAAGACGGAAAGACCCCGUGAACCUUUACUAUAGCUUGACACUGAACAUUGAGCCUUGAUGUGUAGGAUAGGUGGGAGGCUUUGAAGCGUGGACGCCAGUCUGCGUGGAGCCAACCUUGAAAUACCACCCUUUAAUGUUUGAUGUUCUAACGUUGGCCCCUUACCGGGGUUGCGGACAGUGUCUGGUGGGUAGUUUGACUGGGGCGGUCUCCUCCCAAAGCGUAACGGAGGAGCACGAAGGUUAGCUAAUCCUGGUCGGACAUCAGGAGGUUAGUGCAAUGGCAUAAGCUAGCUUGACUGCGAGCGUGACGGCGCGAGCAGGUGCGAAAGCAGGUCAUAGUGAUCCGGUGGUUCUGAAUGGAAGGGCCAUCGCUCAACGGAUAAAAGGUACUCCGGGGAUAACAGGCUGAUACCGCCCAAGAGUUCAUAUCGACGGCGGUGUUUGGCACCUCGAUGUCGGCUCAUCACAUCCUGGGGCUGAAGUAGGUCCCAAGGGUAUGGCUGUUCGCCAUUUAAAGUGGUACGCGAGCUGGGUUUAGAACGUCGUGAGACAGUUCGGUCCCUAUCUGCCGUGGGCGCUGGAGAAUUGAGGGGGGCUGCUCCUAGUACGAGAGGACCGGAGUGGACGCAUCACUGGUGUUCGGGUUGUCAUGCCAAUGGCACUGCCCGGUAGCUAAAUGCGGAAGAGAUAAGUGCUGAAAGCAUCUAAGCACGAAACUUGCCCCGAGAUGAGUUCUCCCUGAGACUUUAAGUCUCCUGAAGGAACGUUAAAGACGAUGACGUUGAUAGGCCGGGUGUGUAAGCGCAGCGAUGCGUUGAGCUAACCGGUACUAAUGAACCGUGAGGCUUAACC